CCUACGGGGGGCAGCAGUGAGGAAUAUUGGUCAAUGGUCGGGAGACUGAACCAGCCAAGCCGCGUGAGGGAUGAAGGUACAGAGUAUCGUAAACCUCUUUUGUCAGGGAACAAAGGCGGGGACGUGUCCCCGGAUGAGUGUACCUGAAGAAAAAGCAUCGGCUAACUCCGUGCCAGCAGCCGCGGUAAUACGGAGGAUGCGAGCGUUAUCCGGAUUUAUUGGGUUUAAAGGGUGCGGAGGCGGUAUAUUAAGUCAGCGGUCAAAGCCCGGGGCUCAACCCCGGCCCGCCGUUGAAACUGGCAGUCGCGAGUUGGAGAGAAGUAUGCGGAAUGCGCGGUGUAGCGGUGAAAUGCAUAGAUAUCGCGCAGAACUCCGAUUGCGAAGGCAGCAUGCCGGCUCCACACUGACGCUGAGGCACGAAAGCGUGGGUAUCGAACAGGAUUAGAUACCCGGGUAGUC
rnacentral:rRNA from 1 species